CUUACUUAAAAAAAAAAAAAUCAUUGAUUUGUUUUUCAGUUGUCUCAGCUCUCGGGCUGUAUUUGGUUUACUUAAAGGCUGCCAGCUAGUCAGUGCUUCAGGUUGUGCUUUACCAAUCAAGGAGGGGGGUGUGAGAAAUUUGCAAUGUGUACUGACACUGGCGGUUCCCUUACCUCCUGCUCUAAUGAAUUCAUGUCUGCAGACAACAGACACAAUUAUUAUGGAAAUGACACGCGCACGCACACAAACACUUGGAGGAAAACAUUCUUUUUUCUUUGCAGAACUCCUGCUUCUGUUGAUGCUGGUCCAGGCCUCAGCUCCCAGGCGGUGGAGAUGGCUGGCCGCGGGGAGCUCUGCGUCCGUCUUUUCGGGCAGCUGCUGGAGGGUGGAUGGAUGCAGUGCAGCGGCGCUCCGCGGGGUCCCAAGUUGCUGCCUGCGAUGUGUCUGUGGCCUUCACCUGGCUGGCUGUGCACACCCAUGAAUGAGGAAGAGAGGGGCCUCUGAGAGCUGCACCUAUAAAAAGAGAAUUAAAAAAAAUGGACAUCUUCUGGAGUUUCAAGGACAAACAGCAUGAGGAUGUCUUUAAGCAGCAACCUGCUGAAGGUGUUUUCAUUUCUUCUCCGGAAGCAUUAUUCAGUUUGACGGCUCAGUUCAGAUCUGCAAUGUACUAACCCAGCUGAAAAGAACCUGAGAAAAUGAGCAGAGACAGCCACACAAAGGGAGCAUGGGAGGGGGG